rnacentral:rRNA from 1 species
UACAGAGGUCUCAAGCGUUGUUCGGAUUCAUUGGGCGUAAAGGGUGCGUAGGCGGCUUGUCGCGUCGGCUGUGAAAACCUGGGGCUCAACCCCGGGCCUGCAGCCGAUACGGGCAGCUAGAAUUCGGUAGGGGAGACUGGAAUUCCUGGUGUAGCGGUGAAAUGCGCAGAUAUCAGGAGGAACACCGGUGGCGAAGGCGGGUCUCUGGGCCGAAAUUGACGCUGAGGAGCGAAAGCGUGGGGAGCAAACAGG